GUCUGUGGCUUGCCCACAGACAUAAAAUAAAACUUGGAAAAGAUACAGAGAAGAUUAGCAUUCGUCCCAGCGUAUGGAUGACGACAAAUUCGAGUAACUUCACACAUAUUU